AUGUGAACAUCACUUGGACAUGGCCAGUUAGUUGAUCCUAAGAGAUGGGGAAUCCUUGUAUUAAGGGUGCACUCUGCAUGAACAUCAAAAGAGAAUUGGGUUAAUAUUCCUAAACCGGUACAUGGUGGUGGACGACAAUGUUAGGAAAUAUGGAGAUGUCAUCAGGGGCCUGGGAAGAGUUAUCUUUUCUUUUUAAUGAAUUUCCCACCCUGAAAUCUGUUCAAUCGAAGAUAGGGUCCAAAAUAUAGAAGAUCAUCACACGUCUUGCAUUGUUUAGUUCCCCCUCGACGACCAUUGAAAAUAUGGAGAACUAACUACCAUCCAUGCCCGAUCGUACUCAUAUCUGGCUCC
rnacentral:ncRNA from 1 species